rnacentral:lncRNA from 1 species
UGUUGCUCGUGGUGGGAGGCAGGACAGUGGAAGGUUCAGAACCGAAUGGAAUUUGGUAUACAGUCGGUGAUGGAUUACUUUGCUCGCCAUGUUUUCCUUUCAAUGGCCACCAUUUCGGGUAACCAAUGACCUCAAAAUAUUUUUCACGUUGAUGUCCCUGCUGGCCACAAGCUUCACAGACGGGUAUUUCACUUGACAGACACGCCAUGG